ACGUAGGGGGCGAGCGUUGUCCGGAAUUACUGGGCGUAAAGGGUGCGCAGGCGGCGCUUUAAGUCAGAUGUGAAAUACCCGGGCUUAACCUGGGGGGUGCAUUUGAAACUGGAGCACUUGAGUGCAGGAGAGGAAAGUGGAAUUCCUAGUGUAGCGCUGACAUGCGUAGAUAUUAGGAGGAACCCCAGUGGCGAAGGCGACUUUCUGGACUGUAACUGACUCUGAGGCACGAAAGCGUGGGGAUCAAACAG
rnacentral:rRNA from 1 species